AACAUAAUUCAAUAGAAUGAAUGAAAGAGAGAAAGAUUAAGAAAGGAAGGAAACAAGUAGAAGGGCAUGUUAGUGUUUCUUGUUUGUU
rnacentral:ribozyme from 1 species